CUGAGGUCAUUCCUGGAAUCUUGCCCUUUCUCCCUGUGAAGAAUCCUUUCAAGCAGUUAAACUUCUUCAAGAAAUGAUGAAGAUCAAAGAAAAGAACAAUGUCACCUCCAAAUCAGAAUGAAACGCUAGUUCAGGAGAUUGGAGAGAAACCAGUGGAAGUGGGAAAUGCUACGUGGAUGAAAGCCCAGAUUCCCUAACAGGCUAAAGCAAAGCUACCUGCUACCUACAGACAUGGGAAAAGAGUAGAUGGACUCCAGGGCCCUUCCUGUUCCAGAUCUCUGAUCCUGUAAACUGAUCAGCUUGUGAGAAGGGUUACUUUGACAACGUCCCUGAGUCUCUGUUUCACCACCUGAAGAUGGGAAUGAUCUUACUUUGUGAAAAAUACAAGGCUGAAAGACAUGUGAGUUAUCUGGUUGUCACUAGGUUGCCCGGUGGAAACAGCCUGGAAAUGGAAGAAGGCUGUAAGGAUGAUUUUUCCUUGUGUGACCUUGGCUAAAUGAUUCUGGCCCCAAGGCAGUAGUAGGUGAUACAAUGGAAUCAGUGCUGGUCUUGAAGUCUUAAAGACAUAAAUUCAAAUGUACCUUCAGCUGCUUAUUAGUGUGACCAUGAGGAAGUCAGUGAACCUGCCUGCCUCAGUUUCUCCAUUUGUAAAAAGAGGGUGAUAAUAACUCCUGCCUUUUAGGGCUGGAUCAGAGGUUCCAAUUUGCAAAGCACCAUCUGGAGUACUUCGGGUCUGGCUGCCCACUGUUCCAGGCAGCAUUUUAGCAUGCCUAGUGGCCACUUAAUAUAGCACGGAUGCAAGCGUGGCUGGAUUUCCCUUGCCUAACAUCUGGCUGGAGCUGAGCAGAAUCAGAAUACCACCUGCCUAUUCAUGACUUUAAUUCUGCAACGGCCACAAAGCGUUCAGUGCACGUAGUGGAGGCCUCUGGGAUAGGG